rnacentral:rRNA from 1 species
GACGAACGCUGGCGGCGUGCUUAACACAUGCAAGUCGAACGGAAAGGCCCUGCUUUUGUGGGGGGCUCGAGUGGCGAACGGGUGAGUAACACGGGAGUAACCUGCCCUUGACUUUGGGAUAACUUCAGGAAACUGGGGCUAAUACCGGAUAGGAGCUCCUGCUGCAUGGUGGGGGUUGGAAAGUUUCGGCGGUGGGGGAUGGACUCGCGGCUUAUCAGCGUGUUGGUGGGGUAGUGGCUUACCAAGGCUUUGACGGGUAGCCGGCCUGAGAGGGUGACCGGCCACAUUGGGACUGAGAUACGGCCCAGACUCCUACGGGAGGCAGCAGUGGGGAAUAUUGCACAAUGGGCGGAAGCCUGAUGCAGCAACGCCGCGUGCGGGAUGACGGCCUUCGGGUUGUAAACCGCUUUCGCCUGUGACGAAGCGUGAGUGACGGUAAUGGGUAAAGAAGCACCGGCUAACUACGUG